CGAAUGAGUUUAUACUCAUGGCAGACGAGGUAGGAACACGUAGGUACAUACCCCAAAGUCAGGGAUAAUCCGUCGAAAGGCGGGAUAAUACUUGAUAGUCACUUCGGUGUAAAGAUUUAUCGCUUUGGGAAUGGCCUGCGUUCUAUCAGCUUGUUGGUAAGGUAACGGCUUACCAAGGCUACGACGGAUAGGGGAGGUGAGAGCCUGACCCCCACCGAUGGAACUGCGACACGGUCCAU
rnacentral:rRNA from 1 species